rnacentral:rRNA from 1 species
GAUAGUCCCCCACACUGGUACUGAGACACGGACCAGACUCCUACGGGAGGCAGCAGUGAGGAAUAUUGGUCAAUGGGCGCAAGCCUGAACCAGCCAUGUCGCGUGCAGGAUGACGGCCCUAUGGGUUGUAAACUGCUUUUUUACAGGAAUAAACUUUGCUACGUGUAGCAAACUGAAGGUACUGUAAGAAUAAGGAUCGGCUAACUCCGUGCCAGCAGCCGCGGUAAUACGGAGGAUCCAAGCGUUAUCCGGAUUUAUUGGGUUUAAAGGGUCCGUAGGCGGGCUUUUAAGUCAGUGGUGAAAUCCCGGAGCUCAACUCCGGAACUGCCAUUGAUACUGAAGGUCUUGAAUUUAGUUGAGGUAGGCGGAAUACGUUAUGUAGCGGUGAAAUGCAUAGAUAUAACGUAGAACACCGAUUGCGAAGGCAGCUUACUAAGCUAACAUUGACGCUGAUGGACGAAAGCGUGGGGAGCGAAC